rnacentral:rRNA from 1 species
UACGUAGGGGGCAAGCGUUGUCCGGAUUUACUGGGCGUAAAGAGCGCGUAGGCGGGGAAGCAAGUCCGGUGUGAAAGCCCCCAGCUCAACUGGGGAAGGUCGCUGGAAACUGCUUUUCUUGAGGGUGACAGAGGGGAGUGGAAUUGCUGGUGUAGCGGUGAAAUGCGUAGAGAUCAGCAGGAACACCCGUGGCGAAGGCGGCUUCCUGGGUCACCACUGACGCUGAGGCGCGAAAGCGUGGGGAGCGAACGGG